rnacentral:rRNA from 1 species
GAUGAACGCUGGCGGCGUGCCUAAUACAUGCAAGUCGAGCGAAUGGAUUAAGAGCUUGCUCUUAUGAAGUUAGCGGCGGACGGGUGAGUAACACGUGGGUAACCUGCCCAUAAGACUGGGAUAACUCCGGGAAACCGGGGCUAAUACCGGAUAACAUUUUGAACCGCAUGGUUCGAAAUUGAAAGGCGGCUUCGGCUGUCACUUAUGGAUGGACUCGCGUCGCAUUAGCUAGUUGGUGAGGUAACGGCUCACCAAGGCAACGACGCGUAGCCGAGCUGAGAUGGUGUGCGGCCACACUGCGACUGUGACACGGCCCAGACUCCUACGGGAGGCAGAAGUAGGGAAUCUUCCGCAAUGGACGAAAGUCUGACGGGGCAACGCCGCGUGAGUGAUGAAGGCUUUCGGGUCGUAAAACGCUGUUGUUAGGGAAGAACAAGUGCUAGUCGAAUAAGCUGACACCUUGACGGUACCUAACCAGAAAGCCACGGCUAACUACGUGCCAGCCGCCGCAGUAA